GGCUCGGUGGUGUAACGGUUACACGCCCUCUAUUGAUAUCACGAAAAGACCCCAGUCUCAGAGGGAAUCCCCUGUUCGACUCAGGGCCGGGCCC